ACUGGUGUCCAGGAAAAUGACCUAUGAAUUGACAGACUGCUUUCUAAACUUGCCUGUCAUUUCUAUAGGCCAAUAUUCUGCACACUUUC
rnacentral:pre_miRNA from 1 species